UUUAUUUUUGUAAUUAGUUUUCUUUUUAUGAAAUCAAGCAAUUUUCUUUCAUGCAAUCCAUGUUCUAGGUUCAGUUUAAUUUUCACUUUUUAUGCAAUCUUUUAAUUUUUUUUUAUGCAAUUUAUGUUCCACGCUUCAAUCUUCUUAGUUUCAUCUAUUUUAAUUUAUGCCAAAGCUCUUCUUUGAUUAAUUAAAUAUAUAAAUAUUUUUCGAAUCUAAGUACCUGUCUUUUAGUUAAUUUCAAUUAGAAAAUAUUCUCUGGUAGACCAGAGAAUAAUUCAACAUCCCCGACGUAAUGCUUUGCUUUUANNNNNNNNNNAAAAUUGAGGUGGAUAAAGCCAAAGUAGAAUUAAUUGCUAAGUUACCACCUCCCAAAACUGUUAGGAAAGUCAGAUCCUUUUUAGGGCAUGCGGAUUUUUACCGCCGCUUUAUCAAGGAUUUCAGUAAAUUAUCGAAACCCUUAUGCAAUCUGUUGGCGAAAGAUGCUAUUUUUAAUUUUUCGCCAAUUUGUAUAACUGCUUUCGAAAGACUGAAGUCUGAACUAACCUCAGCACCCAUCAUAAAGAUCCCUGAUAGGAAUCUGCCAUUUAAAAUCAUGUAUGAUGCAUCUGAUUAUGCAAUAGGUGCCGUCCUAGGUCAGCGAGUGGGGAAGCUUCCCCAUGUGAUUCAUUAUGCGAGCAAAACUCUGAAUGACGUCCAACUUAACUAUUCUACCACUGAAAAAGAGUUGUUGGCUGUUGUCUUUGCUCUUGACAAAUUUCGUCCCUAUCUGAUAGGAAGCAAGGUCCUGAUUUAUUCUGAUCAUGCCGCCCUUAAGUACCUUCUCAUAAAGAAGGAUGCCAAGGCAAGACUCAUUCGUUGGAUCCUAUUGCUCCAGGAAUUUGAUCUUGAAAUACGAGAUAAAAAGGGAUCUGAAAAUGUUGUAGCUGACCACUUGUCUAGAUUAAUUGUUGAAUCAUCUGGAGAAUCCAUGCCUGUAUCCGAGACCUUCCCUGAUGAACAAUUAAUGAUGAUUUCCCAUGCCAAUGUUCCAUGGUAUGCUAAUGUAGUCAACUAUCUAGUUACUGAACAAAUGCCCAGUUCAUGGAUCAAACAAGAGAAAUUCCGCUUCUUAACUCAUAAAAUGGUAUUUUUGGGUGAACCAUACUUGUUCAAAUAUUGUCCUGAUCAAAUCAUCAGACGAUGCAUCCCUGAACACGAUCAAAGGAAUGUCCUUUUCUUUUGUCAUACCAUGCUUGUGGUGGUCAUUUUAGUGGGAAGAAAACUGCUGCAAAAGUUUUGCAGUGCGGAUUUUAUUGGCCCACACUUUUUCGAGAUGCGCAUGACUAUUGUAAAUCUUGCGAUCGAUGUCAACGAUUAGAAAAACUUUCGAGAAAGAAUGAGAUGCCCCUGAACCCUAUCUUGAUUAUAGAAAUCUUCGAUAUUUGGGGUAUUGAUUUUAUGGGUCCUUUUCCUAUGUCGUUUGGGCACCAGUACAUUCUUGUGGCAGUUGACUAUGUAUCAAAAUGGAUUGAGGCUAUCGUGUGUAAGACCAAUGAUCACAAAGUGGUGAUCAAGUUCCUUAAAGAAUCUAUCUUUGCUUGUUUUGGCACCCCUCGUGCUAUCAUUAGUGAUGGGGGGAAACAUUUUUGUAAUAAAAUCUUUAAAGCCCUUAUGAGAAAGUACAACAUUAAUCACAAGGUCAGUACACCAUAUCAUCCACAAACAAGUGGACAAGUUGAAAUUUCCAAUCGGAAAAUCAAGACCAUCCUUGAAAAAACUGUUAAUACAUCUCGGAAGGAUUGGUCUCUUAGGCUAACAGAUGCACUGUGGGCAUAUCGGACGGCUUACAAAACACCAAUUGGAAUGUCUCCAUAUAAAACUGUCUAUGGCAAGGCCUGCCAUUUACCUGUCGAGUUAGAGCACAAAGCCUAUUAAAUUUCGAUCUUAACAAAGCGGAAGAACAUAGAAAGCUUCAGCUCGAUGAGCUUGAAGAAAUUAGAAACGAUGCUUACAAGUGUGCCAAGAAGUACAAAGAUCGCAUGAAGAUCAUGCAUCAUUCGUAAGGAAUUUCACCCAGGACAGAAAGUUCUUUUAUACGACUCUCGAUUACAUCUGUUCCCUGAAAAACUUAAAUACCGCUGGACUGGCCCAUACAUUGUGGAGAAAGUGCAUCCGCAUGGUGCGAUAAUUAUAGGCAGUACCAAGGAUGGCAGAUCUUUUAAAGUUAAUGGACAUCGCCUCAAACCAUACCUCGAUUAUCUGAGUCCAGAAGUUGAAGAAACACUUCUGGUAGAUCUUGUUUAUACUAAUUAAGUUAGAAUUGUCUGGCUAAAGACAUAAAACUUAGCACUGUUUGGAGGCAACCCAACAUGUAAAUAUUAUUAUAUAUAUAUAUAAUAUAUAAUAUAUAUAUAUAUAAUAAAAAUAAAAUAAUAAUUAAAAAAAUUCAAUAAAUUACUAACAUGCACGUUUGGGGUAUUUUUCCCAAUCUUCAAGUUAUCCUGCCAUAUCAAGGUCCAAAAUCAGGUAAUGUCUCCUCAAUCCUAUUAUUGUUUUAAUUUUCUCAACAUUGAGGAUAAUGCUGAAUUUGGAUAUGGGGGUGAGAAUAUUUCUGAUUUUUCUGCUUAAAAAGAUUAAAAAAUAAAAAAAUAAAAAUAGAGGGGACUUCAAAUUUCUAACUCAAAUUCUAAUCUUUUUAGCUGUAUAAACUAGGAAUUGCCUUGACAAUAGUUUUGAGUUAAGGAAUAUAAUAGCGGUUCUAGCUUGAGUUUUUGUCCCACCUGUCUCCUGCUAACAUGAUAGAAGAUGAUUUAGCACCUACACGUAAGCACAUAAAUAGUGGGGUAUGUAAACUUGCAACUAAUAUGAAUACUUUUAAUCUUCUAGAUAAUUUAAAGUUAUAUGUGUGAUGAACACCCUAAUCAAAAAAAAUAUUGAUAAAAAAAUAUAANNNNNNNNNNNNNNNNNNNNUUUAAAGUUAUAUGUGUGAUGAACACCCUAAUCAAAAAAAAUAUUGAUAAAAAAAUAUAAAUGAUUUUAUCGUAUGUCUUCUCACUGAGUAACCGGGCCUCUUGCUUGGCAAGCAACGAGUGUCCGCGUAAAAAGGUGAGGAUGGCUAAGAUUAAACUCUGAGUGACUAAUUCGGCCUUGGAGCCUAGUUGACUUGAGUUAUUAAGCCUGUUAGGGUGUCUUUACACCUAGUGCUCUGAGCCAUCUGGAUCGGGAGUCAUUGGCCUAACACUCGCUACAUGGGUUAGCUAGAAAGCUUAAUAAAGCUAGAUAUUGUACAAGUCAUUCUUCUUAGCAUUCAGUCUGAUUAAAAGUUAAAUCUUGGGUGUUCAUUACCAUUUAACUCUAGAAAGUCUUGAAAAUUAGAGUGAUCACGUUGGAAGUGAAAGCCACUCAUUUAUAUGAUACUAUCUUGCACCUCACUCCAUUCUUAACUUGUUAGCAGAUAGAUGGGAAUAAUGGAACUUGAGUUAGAGUCUGCUUAAAUAUGAUAGCAAUAAGUCUAUUGUCCUUACAAUUCUAGGUUCAUACAAUAAUACUUGUUCAAAUUUUGAGUUAAACAAUGAAAAUCCCUGACUGAUGAAGUUUGAGGAUAACUUCACUGCAAAUCCUCACGAGACAACACUCGUCCACUAGGAUAACCUAGGGGUUUAAAGGCUUGUUGCACGUGCUAAGUGCAAUCGUGAUUCCCUACGAAAAUGGAUACAUAUCUCAGUUUUGUGUACUUAGCUUCAAUAAAAAGUCAUAAGUUAAACUAUAUCUUUUGCACUCUCAUUUUAUCGUUUGCUUGUUAAUUACUAAAGACUAGCAAUAAGCUAGUUGGGGGGUGUGAUGAGAGCACAAAAGUGUGAUUUACUUACUACUUUAAUUAGUAUUAUUGCCAACAGAUAACGAUAAAAUUGCUGAUAAAAUAUUAUAUUUUUUGUUUGGCAUAGGUUAUCAUUUAAAUACGUAUUUGGUACAGAUUGGGAUGAUAUAUGACCUCAAGCCUGAUCACGCUGGAGCAUAAUUGAACCUGGUCAAAGCACAUUUGCACCCGAGCAGCACAUGUCGACACGUCACAGUCUAGAGUGCAUUAGAAUUCAAAAUAAAGGAAGAUCAUGUGUGGCUAGGAAAGUAUUCUGGCUGCAUGCUUCAUCUUCAACUGUUCGAGCUCCCAUAUCAGCGACGAGGCAUCCCGUGAUUAUCCUGCAUCAAGGCCCCGAGAUGAUUUCCUUCCGCAAUUGUUUUCUUCGGCGCAAUCCACCCGUCCGCCUCUUUCGCGUCAAAGCAGGCUCAUUCCCUUCUCUGUUUCAACGUCCCAACCGUCCGCAUCUCCUCCCUUUCCGAGUGAUCUCCGCAUCCUUGGCCCCACGAUGCAACCGGAUCUCUUCCGUCAUCAACGUUCUUCAGCCUCCCGCAGCAACUUCUUCAGCCUUCAAUCCCAACGUGCUCCCAGAAUUUUCCAGCGUCCGAGCCGCAUCAAAAUCCUAGCUUCCUUCCCCAUUGCGCGCCCCAUCCGUCCGCGAUAUGCCCUCUAGCAUCACGCCCCGGAAUCAGCAGCCUGUGAUCCAUUCUCCCUUCCCGAAUGAGCAUCCCGGACGAUCCUCUCAGGGAUCCAUCGCUGGCUUCAAGGUCUUGGGCGAUCUAUAAAAAGGGGAGACGCUCAGCUGGGAAAGGAGGAAGGGGGGGGGAGAAGAAAGGAGCUCUAUUUCAAAAGGAAGGAGGGUGGCCAUCGAUUGAAAGGAGGAAGCGAAGCUCUGGUUCAAUAGAAAAAUAGGGGAACCUCUGUUUUUCGAGAAGAAGAAAAUAAAAAAAGAGUAUUUUAUUUUAUUUGUUUUGGGAGUUCCACCGAGGGGGAGCCAUGCUCUGUUUUCUUUUCUUAUUUUCUUGUUAUUUGCAGAAGAAAAGAAGAGGGAGUUUCUUGUUAUUUCUUGCUUUCUUUGCAGAAGAAAAGAAGCAUUAGGCUUCCAAUCUUCCUUUUUAUUUUUGUAAUUAGUUUUCUUUUUAUGAAAUCAAGCAAUUUUCUUUCAUGCAAUCCAUGUUCUAGGUUCAGUUUAAUUUCUACUUUUUAUGCAAUAAUUUUUCUUUUAUGCAAUCCAUGUCUAAGUUUUAAUUUAAUAUUCUACAAUUUAUUGUAUGCAUUCUAGAAUUCUUAGUUUUAAGAUAACCCUGGAAUUAAUCUUUGCUGUUCGAUUGGCGAUUUUAAUUUAUAUUUUGUCUCUAGAAAUCGACCCCUACUCUGCAUCAUAUUUCAAUUGCAAAAUUUUCUUUCUUUCCUUUGUUUAUUUUCAAAUAGAAAAUAUUCUCUGGUAGACUAGAAUUGCGAAGUAAUAUUUUUCUUCUAUUAUUCAAAAAUCGAUUUUGAAUCCGAGCGAACAUUUUAAUUUUUAUGCAACUCCAAUCGCCUCCCUGUGGAUCGACCUCUUACGACCACUAUUCUUCGAGUAGAAAAGGUAAGAGUAAAAUUAAUUUAAACUUUAUUUGUCGGUUCUAAUAAUGAUCUGUUUAGCGUAUUUUUAGGUAAACAGGAAUUGCGACAACAGUGCUCAUGGCAGUCAUGUAUCUCUAAAUAUCAUCUCGACACAACUUGCCAACUUUACAUCUUAGCUACUUUAAAUGUAAUCCUACUCAUGUUGUAGGGCUGAUUCUAUUCUCCCUUUCAUUGAAACUUCCUGUCCAUGAAUGUGUACUUGCUUACAUGGAUCACCAUUCUCAUGGCUUAGUCUUGGUGCAUGGUCAACCUUGACUUUUAGAUAAGAGAAGGGAAAUGGAAGUUUGCCAGUCCACUUGAGCAUAAAAACAUUCUGAUAUAAUACUAUAGCAGCCCAUUAUAGUAACAAUGCAUUGUGAUAUAGCAAUAUAGAGGCCUAGUGUGCUGCAAACAGAUUGCAACAUGUAUUUUCCUAAUAUGGUCCCAUGUAACUUGCUUAAUAUGCUCCCAUGUAAAUUGCUUACUUCGUGUAGCAGUUUUCACAUAGAUUUUAUGUAAUGAUAUGGAACAUAAAUGCACUCCUACUGUGAUGUUAUUGUCUACAAUAACGAGUCCAAAAUUUAUAUAUCGCAUUCAGCUAGGGGUGCAAAUUAGCUGAACUCCAGAAGAUCUAGCUCAGCUUGGCUCAAAAGUUGACUGAUGUGUAUUGAAAAUACCAAGAUAGCAUGAUUUCGUCUUGAAGAGACCAAAAAAUCAAAUUGAUGGGAGACAAAAAAUUGAGCAAGUGAGGUGCAGUAGUUAAUUGUGAUGUGGAUGAAGUGGGAAACAUCGGUUAGCUAGUGUAGAGGCUGGAGCACCGAGGUCGACCAUCAUGAUGAGAGGCUCAAGGUAGAGAAGGGAAGGUGGCAUAGGCAGAGGCAAAAGGGGCAAGGAAAUUUGGGCAGCAACAGCAUCAAUAGCUG
rnacentral:lncRNA from 1 species